AAAAUAAUAAUAAGUAAUUAAUAAUAAAUCUCGCGAACUAAAUGCAUGCUUGACACUGACAUUUAAAUCACAGAUGUCACAUUCGCUAAUAACCUCAAGCGCACGCGACGACGCAGUAGGUACCGGUAAGCGGUAAUGGCGUCCCCGUUUAUACAAACCGGCAUCUGAAUGUGUAUUACAGUAAAAUAACGUUAUAAUGGUCUUUGUGGUGUAUGGUGUUUUUGAAAGAAAGUGCAACCAAAGCAGAGACGCCGCUGAUCAACCACCGCACCGCGCGGCGCUUUUGGAGAACAUGCUGAUAAUAUAGUGGAUUUCCUGAACCGGUACCACAUACCAGUACCGGAGCAGGACAAGAGACACAGGACACUGUGGACGGCCAAGCUAAGUCAAAAACAGAUACGCCGCGAGCACCAGGACACAGCGGACACGUGGCAACAGGCAGCGACCCGCGCCAGCGACGCCCAGCUGGAGAUCCCACCCGUGGCGGCAGGCCAGGACUCAUGUGGUAAACAACAACAAUGCCUCUUAAUGGUGGUGGGAGAUCAUUCCAGCAGCGAGUCGCCGCAAAUUUAAAACUGCCCCUGAAAGCCGCUGUCCUGUGCUGCGGUAUCUUUAGCGGAUCUACCUCAGAACGGAGACCGGAAUCAUACCGA